rnacentral:rRNA from 1 species
AGCAGCCGCGGUAAUUCCAGCUCCAAUAGCGUAUAUUAAAGUUGUUGCAGUUAAAAAGCUCGUAGUUGAAUUUCGGGGUCAGUAGGUCGGUCGUGCCACUGGUAUGAACUGGUCUCACUGAUUCCUCCCUCUUGUAGAACCGUGAUGCCAUUAAUUUGGUGUUGCGGGGAAACAGGACUGUUAACUUUGAAAAAAUUAGAGUGUUUAAAGCAGGCAAGCGCUUGAAUACAUUAGCAUGGAAUAAUGAAAUAGGGCGUUUGAUCCUAUUUUGUUGGUUUCUAGGAUUGACGUAAUGAUUAAUAGGGAUAGUUGGGGGCAUUAGUAUUCAAUUGUCAGAGGUGAAAUUCUUGGAUUUAUUGAAGACUAACUACUGCGAAAGCAUUUGCCAAGGAUGUUUUCAUUAAUCAAGAACGAAAGUUAGGGGAUCGAAGACGAUCAGAUACCGUCGUAGUCUUAACCAUAAACUAUGCCGACUAGGGAUCGGAUGAUGUUAAUUUUUUAAUGACUUAUUCGGCGCCUU